GGUAUCUGUCUCAAAGGCCAGAUCCAUUGCCAGUUUUGAUGGAGGAAGACAAUACUGUUGGAUUUGGAACAAGAGCUCAAGACACUUGGAGACAAAUUUGGGAUACCAGGGCAGACGGAUAUGCUUUCUUUAUAAUAAAGCAGAAUUGUGUUCCAGGCAGCAAAAUGUACAACUUGCAGCAGUAUCUUUUAAAACAGCAACAACAACAGCUGACGAUAAACACUCCUCCGGUGCCCCCACCAUCAGCUUCCACUGCAAGACCACUUGUUUCUUCCAGUACUGCUUCUGAUCAGCCUGUGAUGGAGGAGGAUGAAGAACUGGAGAGGAUAAUGCUGAGUCUGUCUCCAACAAAGUAUCUCACACAGCUGAGAUCAUCUGCAGCCACGGGAUCCACAGUCUUGUCUACAGCAGGUUACUUUCCUUAUCAGAUUCAGAGGCUUAUUCUGUUACAUACAGACUUAUCCUCCAUUUCUGAAUUUAAUUAUCUUAUUUGUUGCUUUGGCAGUGUUCUUGCCUGUUCUAAAAAACAUGUUUUUUUGUUCUAACUAUAAUUAAGGGUUGAACAUACCAGUGGUGAGGGUCUGCCGCAGCCUCCAUCAACAUCAGUUCCUGUGUGUAGGCCUUCUUCACGGGGUGAAGGCUCUGUACCACCUGCAGAAACACAAUCAACACCUGCACCAAUGCCAUCUGCACUGACUGAAGCCCCUCUUCUCAGCUACAAAAAAGUUCUGUCGACAUCACAUGCAGUCUCUAGUUCUCCCAGUCCCAGUAUGCCUUCUUCACAGACUGAUGGGCCUGUACCACCUUCUGCUGCACAAUCAGCACCUACAGCUCCUGCAUCAAUGCCUUCUGUACAGAAAGAAGCACCUGUUCCUAGCUACUUGCAAGAUAUCAGCCGCUGGAACUGCUCUCUUCAACAAAGAAUUUGGAUGAAGACAGAGAUGGAAUCCAUGGGGCUCUGGCCAGGAUCACACCCAGUACACUGAAAAAAGUAAUGAGUAAAUUUACUUAAUUUUUAUUUGGCAAG